rnacentral:rRNA from 1 species
UACGAAGGGGGCUAGCGUUGCUCGGAAUCACUGGGCGUAAAGGGUGCGUAGGCGGGUCUUUAAGUCAGGGGUGAAAUCCUGGAGCUCAACUCCAGAACUGCCUUUGAUACUGAAGAUCUUGAGUUCGGAGAGGUGAGUGGAACUGCGAGUGUAGAGGUGAAAUUCGUAGAUAUUAGGAAGAACACCAGUGGCGAAGGCGGCUCACUGGCCCGGUUCUGACGCUGAGGCGCGAAAGCGUGGGGAGCAAACGGG